CUUCCCAUUCCGAACAGAGAAGUUAAGCCCGCUUACGCCGAUGGUACUGCCCACAAGGUGGGAGAGUAGGUAGCUGCCUUUU
rnacentral:rRNA from 1 species